UAGCAACCCAGGCUCCUACUUGACAACAUGAAAAGAAGCCUUCCCUCUGGAUCCCUGCCUUGCUCCACUCUGGAGGGAAAGACUCUAUUGGUCAAGUUCCAGGUGAAGCUCCGGCUGAAGCUGAGUUAGAGUCCAGAUGGGAAGUCAUCCAAGAUCCCAGAUGAGCAUCCUAAUGGAAACAUGGACUAGAAGACCCCUUCACUGAGCAAGAAAGGCACAAGUUGGAAUCUGGGAGAUUGCAGAAUGCCACAUUAAACUCGGAGCUUCUGGGCUAAUGAGGGUGAGGACACUGGGACACAGGGAUGCAGUAAUGCUUCUAAGUCUCUUAGGAAAUGGAAGUAGCCGGGGUCUAUUUUCCUGACUAUGGAUUGAACCUGAAUCCUCAUGAUCACACAGCAAACAUGGACUGACUGAGCUAUCUCCCUAGCCCCUUACGUUGCUUUUGUUGGGCAUUUGGUAGCAGCACUGAGAAUGGUAACUAAUACACUCAGCGUUGGCACAGGAGAUGAAAUGAACGUGGUGAUCAGGCAUCAGCAUUGGAGUGAACUGUCAGUAGCAUGUAGAUGAUCGAUAGGCUGUCUGCCAAAGCAUCUGAGGCUCACAAGUCUGGCUCUGGUGCCCUGGCUCUUAGAUCUGCAUCCAGCUCAUCUGUAGACAUACUAAUAGUGCCCAGGGCUGCCCUCCGUAGCGAAGGUCCUACCUGCCCUGCCUUCCCAGCUGGCCCUCCUGGCUCCCUGCCCCUUCCCCAAUCAAAACCAAUUUCCACAUCUUCUGAGCACUCAUAAGGGAGCAGUGCUAACCUGAUAAAUUAAUUCAAGCUAAUGCAAAUUAUAUCUUAAUAUGUUACCCUUCCAGGCAACAUUUACAUUUUUAAAAGUAGCUUCAGUUCCUUAAAUCUAAAUGAGUGAGUACUGUGGGAAUGUCAAGCCUCAUGGCAGACAGCUUGGGAAGACUUCAAGAAUAGCAGCACCUGUCUGGGGCCCUCAGAGGUCAGUCACGGAA